rnacentral:rRNA from 1 species
CCUACGGGAGGCAGCAGUGGGGAAUUUUGGACAAUGGGGGCAACCCUGAUCCAGCCAUUCCGCGUGAGUGAAGAAGGCCUUCGGGUUGUAAAGCUCUUUUGUCCGGAGCGAAACGGUUGGCGUGAAUAUCGCCGACUACUGACGGUACCGGAAGAAUAAGCACCGGCUAACUACGUGCCAGCAGCCGCGGUAAUACGUAGGGUGCGAGCGUUAAUCGGAAUUACUGGGCGUAAAGCGUGCGCAGGCGGUUUCGUAAGCUUGAUGUGAAAUCCCCGGGCUUAACCUGGGAAUGGCAUUGAGGACUGCGAGGCUGGAGUGUGGCAGAGGAGACUGGAAUUCCUGGUGUAGCAGUGAAAUGCGUAGAUAUCAGGAGGAAUACCGAUGGCGAAGGCAGGUCUCUGGGCUGACACUGACGCUCAUGCACGAAAGCGUGGGGAGCAAACAGGAUUAGAUACCCUGGUAGUCCACGCCCUAAACGAUGUCGACUGGUUGUUGGGGGUUUGACACUCUCAGUAACGAAGCUAACGCGUGAAGUCGACCGCCUGGGGAGUACGGCCGCAAGGUUAAAACUCAAAGGAAUUGACGGGGACCCGCACAAGCGGUGGAUUAUGUGGAUUAAUUCGAUGCAACGCGAAAAACCUUACCUACCCUUGACAUGUCCUGGAGGCUCCAGAGAUGGGGCUGUGCCCGAAAGG